rnacentral:misc_RNA from 1 species
GGAGUAAAAGUCGUAACAAGGUUUCCGUAGGUGAACCUGCGGAAGGAUCAUUAUUGUAUAACCGAGGUGCGAGGGCUGUCGCUGACCCGAAAGGUCGUGCACGCCCGAGUGCCCUCACACAUCCAUCUCACCCCUAUGUGCACCACCGCGUGGGUCCCCCUUUGGCUUGUUCGGAGGGGGGCUUACGUUUUCACACAAACUUUGUAUGCAGUGUAGAAUGUAUUUUUUGUUUUUGCGAUCACGCAAUCAAUACAACUUUCAACAACGGAUCUCUUGGCUCUC